rnacentral:rRNA from 1 species
AGCAGCCGCGGUAAUUCCAGCUGCAAUAGCGUAGAUUAAAGUUGUUGCAGUUAAAAAGCUCGUAGUUGAAUUUCGGGAUCAAUACGUCGGUCGUGCUUUCGGGUACGUACUGGCGUCAUUGGUUUCUCCUUUCUGACGAACCAUGAUGUCAUUAAUUUGGUGUUAUGGGGAGUUAGGACUGUUACUUUGAAAAAAUUAGAGUGUUUAAAGCAGGCGUUAGCUUGAAUACAUUAGCAUGGAAUAAUGAAAGAGGACGUUCGAUCCUAUUUUGUUGGUUUCUAGGAUCAACGUAAUGAUUAAUAGGGAUAGUUGGGGGCAUUAGUAUUCAAUUGUCAGAGGUGAAAUUCUUGGAUUUAUUGAAGACUAGCUACUGCGAAAGCAUUUGCCAAGGAUGUUUGCAUUAGUCAAGAACGAAGGUGAGGGGAUCGAAGACGAUCAGAUACCGUCGUAGUCUUAACCAUAAACUAUGCCGACUAGGGAUCGGAUGAUGUUAAUUUUUUAAUGACUCA